CACCACCAUACUUGGCUAAUAUAUUUUUUUCAUUUUUUUUGUAUUUUCUGUAGAGAUGGAGUCUCCCUGUGUUGCCCAGUCUGGUCUUGAGAGCUUCAGUUUUAAAUAAUAAAUUGUUCUCGUCUUUCUAAAUUUCAAUCAAAACACAGGAUGUAUUUUAAAAGGGAAAAACUGUGAGGUAAAAGAAUAGGGUGAGGGGAGGAAAGAAAUAACUUCAUAGAGAAAAAUUCAAUGAACCCUUGGAAGAAAAUAUAUGGAAGUAUGGUUACUGACUUGGGAAAGAAGAGAAAGGUACAAUGUAACUGCACAUAGAAGCCAGUCCUGAAAAGAAGCAAGCCGGCUGAAGUUAUCUGCAACUCAGAAGCACUUGGUACCACCCAAGGGGAGAUAAGAGAUGAUAUGAUCAUCCUUCCUAGAAAAUCCAAAGCAUUAAUUAAGGAGAUCUCAUCAGAGGUGCCUGAAAAGCACCUCAGCCGAAGGCCUCACAUAGAGAGACCUAAGAAUGAAGGCACCUGGACUAGGAAUGUGAAUAUGUGAAAGAACAUGACCGGCCAGGGGCCCUGAGUUAUUGAAUGCAACCCCCUUCAGACACUGCAACACACAGGCUGUGCACCAAGCCUAGUAUGGGAAGGACAGCUUUUCUUCAUGAGGCCUGCCAGGUAAAGCCAGCUAUGAAACAGGAAGUUGACCUUCACCAGACACUGAACCUACUGGCACCUUGAUCUUGGACUUCCCAGCCUUACAAACUGUAAGAAAUAAAUGUCUGUUGUUCAUAAGCCAC
rnacentral:lncRNA from 1 species